rnacentral:rRNA from 1 species
GACGAACGCUGGCGGCGUGCUUAACACAUGCAAGUCGAACGGAAAGGCCCUGCUUUUGUGGGGUGCUCGAGUGGCGAACGGGUGAGUAACACGUGAGUAACCUGCCCUUGACUUUGGGAUAACUUCAGGAAACUGGGGCUAAUACCGGAUAGGAGCUCCUGCUGCAUGGUGGGGGUUGGAAAGUUUCGGCGGUUGGGGAUGGACUCGCGGCUUAUCAGCUUGUUGGUGGGGUAGUGGCUUACCAAGGCUUUGACGGGUAGCCGGCCUGAGAGGGUGACCGGCCACAUUGGGACUGAGAGACGGCCCAGACGCCUACGGGGGGCAGCAGUGGGGAAUAUUGCACAAUGGGCGGAAGCCUGAUGCAGCAACGCCGCGUGCGGGAUGACGGCCUUCGGGUUGUAAACCGCUUUCGCCUGUGACGAAGCGUGAGUGACGGUAAUGGGUAAAGAAGCACCGGCUAACUACGUG